UGAGGAAUCUUGGGCAAUGGGCGAAAGCCUGACCCAGCGACGCCGCGUGCGGGAAGAAGCCCUUCGGGGCGUAAACCGCUUUUCUGGGGGAAGAAUAACGCGGGGAAGGAAUGCCCCGCUGAUGACGGUACCCCAGGAAUAAGGGACGGCUAACUACGUGCCAGCAGCCGCGGUAAGACGUAGGUCCCAAGCGUUGCCCGGAUUU
rnacentral:rRNA from 1 species